GAUGAACGCUGGCGGCGUGCCUAAUACAUGCAAGUCGAGCGAACGGACGAGAAGCUUGCUUCUCUGAUGUUAGCGGCGGACGGGUGAGUAACACGUGGAUAACCUACCUAUCAGACUGGGAUAACUUCGGGAAACCGUAGCUUAUACCGGAUAAUAUUUUGAACCGCAUGGUUCAAAAGUGAAAGACGGUCUUGCUGUCACUAAUAGAUGGAUCCGCGCUGCAUUAGCUAGUUGGUAAGGUACCGGCGUACCAAGGCAACGAUGCAUAGCCGACCGGAGAGGACGGUCAGCCGCCCUGGGACUGUGACACGGUCCAGUCGGCUAGGGGAGGCAGCAGUAGGGAUUCGUCCGCAAUGGGCGAGAGCCUGACGGAGCAACGCCGCGGGCGUGAGGAGGGUCGUCGGGUCGGAAAACUCUGUUAUUAGGGAAGAACACAUGUGUAAGUAACUGGGCACAUCUUGACGGGACCUAAUCAGAAAGCCACGGCUAACCAACGGC
rnacentral:rRNA from 1 species